CUGAUCAAAGGGGAGAGCCUGGCUGAAGGGCAAUCAGCCAGCCUGUGGCUGCUAAGGGACCUGAAGCUCUCCAGUGGAGAGGAAGAUAUUUGUGUGUCCUCAGUCCUUCCCCAAGAGAGAAGGUGCUUCAUGGAUGCCCCCUGGCAACAUAGUGACCCCUCUGGCUGGCUGAAGUGUCCUUGAUCGGAGCAAGAAACCCAUCAUGGAACCACUGAGAAUGGAGAGGUCUACAGGGGACAGCUCAGCGGAGGCCUGGGAAAUGUGUAACACACAUGACCUGCUCUAGUAGCUAGUCCACAUGGAGGUUAACAA